UGGGAGCCGUUUCCAAGGAUGCAGCCUGGAGAAAGCAGCGUUUGCUGAGACCGUGGGGACCAUCUACGUGGUGGCAAAACCCAGGAUGUACUUCUGACUAGAAGGAACCUCACGUUGACAUCACAAACCAAAGUCAAGCUGAAGCCGCCAGUGUGUGUUCUCUGAGUGAGUUUCUUGGAGUUAGGAAGAAAACAAGUGGAGUUCCUGUGCUUUUGAGUCUUCUCACAACAUGACUGAUGAAGGUAUUAAGCAUUAGGAUACUCCUCUUCACAUCCAAAUCCUUGUGUUAUGUCACUGCAAAUAGAAAGUGAAACAGCUGAGGUAUUAA